UACGGGGGGGGCAAGCGUUGUUCGGAAUUACUGGGCGUAAAGGGCUCGUAGGCGGCCAACUAAGUCAGACGUGAAAUCCCUCGGCUUAACCGGGGAACUGCAUCUGAUACUGGAUGGCUUGAGUUCGGGAGAGGGAUGUGGAAUUCCAGGUGUAGCGGUGAAAUGCGUAGAUAUCUGGAGGAACACCGGUGGCGAAGGCGGCAUCCUGGACCUACACUGACGCUGAUGAGCGAAAGCCAGGGGAGCAAACGGG
rnacentral:rRNA from 1 species